GGGUUGUGAGGUUAAGUGACUAAGCGUACACGGUGGAUGCCUAGGCAGUCAGAGGCGAUGAAGGGCGUGCUAAUCUGCGAAAAGCGUCGGUAAGGUGAUAUGAACCGUUACAACCGGCGAUACCCGAAUGGGGAAACCCAGUGUGUUUCGACACACUAUCAUGUCAUGAAUACAUAGUGGCAUGAGGCGAACCGGGGGAACUGAAACAUCUAAGUACCCCGAGGAAAAGAAAUCAACCGAGAUUCCCCCAGUAGCGGCGAGCGAACGGGGAGGAGCCCAGAACCUGAAUCGGCUUGUGUGUUAGUGGAAGCGUCUGGAAAGUCGCGCAGCAAAGGGUGAUAGCCCCGUACACUAAAAUGCACAGGUCGUGAGUUCGAUGAGUAGGGCGGGACACGUGACAUCCUGUCUGAAUAUGGGGGGACCAUCCUCCAAGGCUAAAUACUCCUGACUGACCGAUAGUGAACCAGUACCGUGAGGGAAAGGCGAAAAGAACCCCGGCGAGGGGAGUGAAAUAGAACCUGAAACCGUGUACGUACAAGCAGUGGGAGCACCUUCGUGGUGUGACUGCGUACCUUUUGUAUAAUGGGUCAGCGACUUAUAUUUUGUAGCAAGGUUAACCGUAUAGGGGAGCCGUAGGGAAACCGAGUCUUAACUGGGCGAAUAGUUGCAAGGUAUAGACCCGAAACCCGGUGAUCUAGCCAUGGGCAGGUUGAAGGUUGGGUAACACUAACUGGAGGACCGAACCGACUAAUGUUGAAAAAUUAGCGGAUGACUUGUGGCUGGGGGUGAAAGGCCAAUCAAACCGGGAGAUAGCUGGUUCUCCCCGAAAGCUAUUUAGGUAGCGCCUCGUGAACUCAUCUUCGGGGGUAGAGCACUGUUUCGGCUAGGGGGCCAUCCCGGCUUACCAAACCGAUGCAAACUCCGAAUACCGAAGAAUGUUAUCACGGGAGACACACGGCGGGUGCUAACGUCCGUCGUGAAGAGGGAAACAACCCAGACCGCCAGCUAAGGUCCCAAAGUCAUGGUUAAGUGGGAAACGAUGUGGGAAGGCAUAGACAGCCAGGAUGUUGGCUUAGAAGCAGCCAUCAUUUAAAGAAAGCGUAAUAGCUCACUGGUCGAGUCGGCCUGCGCGGAAGAUGUAACGGGGCUAAACCAUGCACCGAAGCUGCGGCAGCGACGCUUAGGCGUUGUUGGGUAGGGGAGCGUUCUGUAAGCCGUUGAAGGUGGCCUGUGAGGGUUGCUGGAGGUAUCAGAAGUGCGAAUGCUGACAUAAGUAACGAUAAAGCGGGUGAAAAGCCCGCUCGCCGGAAGACCAAGGGUUCCUGUCCAACGUUAAUCGGGGCAGGGUGAGUCGACCCCUAAGGCGAGGCUGAAAAGCGUAGUCGAUGGGAAACAGGUUAAUAUUCCUGUACUUGGUGUUACUGCGAAGGGGGGACGGAGAAGGCUAGGCUAGCCGGGCGACGGUUGUCCCGGUUUAAGCGUGUAGGGGGUGUGACCUGGUAAAUCCGGUUGCAUAUCAACCCUGAGGCGUGAUGACGAUGCACUACGGUGCAGAAGUAGUUGAUGCCCUGCUUCCAGGAAAAGCCUCUAAGCUCCAGGUAACAUUGAAUCGUACCCCAAACCGACACAGGUGGUCAGGUAGAGAAUACCAAGGCGCUUGAGAGAACUCGGGUGAAGGAACUAGGCAAAAUGGUGCCGUAACUUCGGGAGAAGGCACGCUGGCAUGUAGGUGAAGUCCUUCGCGGAUGGAGCUGAAGCCAGUCGAAGAUACCAGCUGGCUGCAACUGUUUAAUAAAAACACAGCACUGUGCAAACACGAAAGUGGACGUAUACGGUGUGACGCCUGCCCGGUGCUGGAAGGUUAAUUGAUGGGGUCAGCCGCAAGGCGAAGCUCUUGAUCGAAGCCCCAGUAAACGGCGGCCGUAACUAUAACGGUCCUAAGGUAGCGAAAUUCCUUGUCGGGUAAGUUCCGACCUGCACGAAUGGCGUAAUGAUGGCCAGGCUGUCUCCACCCGAGACUCAGUGAAAUUGAACUCGCUGUGAAGAUGCAGUGUACCCGCGGCAAGACGGAAAGACCCCGUGAACCUUUACUAUAGCUUGACACUGAACAUUGAGCCUUGAUGUGUAGGAUAGGUGGGAGGCUUUGAAGCGUGGACGCCAGUCUGCGUGGAGCCAUCCUUGAAAUACCACCCUUUAAUGUUUGAUGUUCUAACUCGGCCCCGUGAUCCGGGGUGAGGACAGUGUCUGGUGGGUAGUUUGACUGGGGCGGUCUCCUCCCAAAGAGUAACGGAGGAGCACGAAGGUUAGCUAAUCACGGUCGGACAUCGUGAGGUUAGUGCAAAGGCAUAAGCUAGCUUGACUGCGAGAGUGACGGCUCGAGCAGGUACGAAAGUAGGUCUUAGUGAUCCGGUGGUUCUGAAUGGAAGGGCCAUCGCUCAACGGAUAAAAGGUACUCCGGGGAUAACAGGCUGAUACCGCCCAAGAGUUCAUAUCGACGGCGGUGUUUGGCACCUCGAUGUCGGCUCAUCACAUCCUGGGGCUGAAGUAGGUCCCAAGGGUAUGGCUGUUCGCCAUUUAAAGUGGUACGCGAGCUGGGUUUAGAACGUCGUGAGACAGUUCGGUCCCUAUCUGCCGUGGGCGUUGGAAGAUUGAGAGGGGUUGCUCCUAGUACGAGAGGACCGGAGUGAACGCACCACUGGUGUUCGGGUUGUCAUGCCAAUGGCAUUGCCCGGUAGCUAAGUGCGGAAAAGAUAAGCGCUGAAAGCAUCUAAGCGCGAAACUUGCCUCAAGAUGAGUCUUCCCUGGGCCUUCAAGGCCCCUGAAGGAACGUUUAAGACUAAGACGUUGAUAGGCUGGGUGUGUAAGUGCAGCGAUGCAUUGAGCUAACCAGUACUAAUGAUCCGUGAGGCUUAACCUUACAACACCGAAGGUGUUU
rnacentral:rRNA from 1 species